CAAAAAUCAAUUGACUGUAAGAGUGGAAGUAUAUCACUUACCUUAUUCCCACUCUUAGGGGAAAAGCUUUACAUUGAUUGGAUUUUGAAUGUUAAAUCAACCUUACAUUUCUUAAAUGAACCUUGAUUGCACUCUUGAUCAUGCUGUGUUGUCCUUCUAAUAUAUGAUUUUUGAAUUGCUUAUUUUAUUUAAAAAUAAUUUUUCUAUGUUUAUGUGGGGUGAGAAUUAGGAGAAGUCUAAGCAUGAAUAAGGAUUGAACUGUUGAGUAGUGUCUUGACCAGAUACUUUCAGUAACUGAAUGAAGGUUGUUUUAUGGCUUAAUAUAACUGGAGGACUACAAUAAUAAAAUAAAGUUAUGUUUCCUGACAACUUUUCAUCUUCUUCUCCUGAAUACAUUUGAGAAAGGCAAUAAAAGGUGAAAAUGUAAUGUUUUUAAAAAAUCUUAUCCAAUGAGUUGUGCUUAUCUAAUUGACUGGCUACAUUUUGAAAAUGCUCUUUAAUUACUAACAGCUAUUUCAUAGAUUUCCUAUCCAAUUCUCAGAUCAGAUAAAUUCUGUUUCAAAUCAUCUAUAGAUCAGCACAAAUUUGAAGCCUGUUGCACUUAGGAAGUUAAACAUUUUACAAUCUAUUUGCCAAGGUUGUCCCAUGACUCAAGCCUGGAUAUUGAGGAACCUGGGUGUCAAGGAAUCACUUUCUCUGCUUCAAGAUCUUUGGUCAGAGAUCUUGAGAAGGCUUAUUAUAUUGGUUUGGUGGGAGGUUCACCUAAAUGUCUUGGAAGUUUCCUUUUGAUGUUGAAAUAUUUUAUUCCGCAAAGGCAGGGAUGGGAAAUGGGAGCAGGAACUAAAGAGCCCACUAAUGAUGAUGGACAGGUAGGCACGAAGGCUAAACUAGAAGCUAUUUUUGGUGACUUCUGUUGCACAAACUGCCUCUCUUAGCUAUUUCUUGGGUAAAUCUCUCCAGUUCCACUUGGAAAGGCAAACAGCAUUAAAACUAAAGAAAGUUCCAUAGCUGACUCUAUGGGCAUUAGAAUUAUCACCCAACAAAAUUGCUAUCUGCAGCCAAAGGACACCUUGUCAUAAUGUCGGAGCAAGUGUGGCCAAAGCCAUCUUGGGGAAAAAGAGAAGUCUGUCUAGACAGAUCGGAACAGCUGGUGUGCCUAAUUAAACAGUCCCUCUUCACACAGCCAGUGCUGUGUGAACAGUUUGCUUGUUUAUUAAUUACUUGUGGAACACACCUUUAAAGAAGUGCUAUGCACUUUAUCCGCUUCCAUGGAUUCAUGGAAACCGGGGGCCCAAAAGGGCUGUAGAAAUCAAAUAAUCCAGUCCUGUAAGUUUCCAGAAGAAAAACUGAAGAUAAAAGAGAUAAAAUAACAAGGCUGAGCCAUGAAUUCGUGGCAACAACAGCACUGGAAUCCAGGUUUCUGACAUUUGGUCCAGAGCUCUUUCCACCAUGCCAGUCUACUUGCUAUGUAGACGGACGUUGUCACGUGACCACUCCUGGAGAUGCUUCUGUGCAGGCUCUUUAUUGCAAUUUAUUCCCCCUACUGGACUAUCUUAUUUAUUAACAUUCUCUCAUUCUCCAAUUGUCAGACUAGAUUAAUUCUGUCAGUAUUAACUAUAGAUCAACACAAAUUUAAAGACUGUUGCACUUAACAAGUCAAAGAUUUUAUAAUCUAUUUGCCAAGGUUGUCACAUGACUCAACCCUGGAUGCUGAUGAAUCUGGUUUAUGCCUUUGGGCUGUUGCUCUGCCUGUCUGCUUUUAACAGUUAAACGCACCUGAAUGGCAUAACACAACCUAGGCUUAGAUUCCACUAGAAGCAAACCCCGAGAUGAGGAUUUGGAUGCAAAUAGUUUAUUUUAGAGGUGAUUGUGGGAAAAAAUGUGUCUUAAUUCAUUUGUGCUACUAUAACAAAAUACCUGAGGCUAGGUAUUUUAUGAACAAUACAAAUUUAUUUCUUAAAUUUCUGGAGGCCAAGUUUGAGAUCAAGGUGCUGGCAUAUUUGGCAUCUGGUGAGGGCCCUCUUUCUCUGUCCUCACAUGGAGAAAUGCAGAAGAGCAAAGAGGGCCUAUGCUAGUUCUCCCCAGCCCUUUUGUAGGGCAUUAAUUCAUUCAUGAAGGUCCUCAUGAUUUAAUCACUUCCUAAAGACAUCUUAAUAGCACCUCUUAAUAUCCCCAAAAUGGGGAUUAAAUUUCAACAUGAAUUUUGGAGGGAACUUAUUUAAAUCAUAGCAACUGGCUUGGGAGUGGGAAAGAGACAGGAAAGACAAGGAAACGAAGAAAAGGUAUGCAGUUGAAAAGGUGACUGCUAUGGGCAACCAAGGUUCAAUCCCUUUGGGAAACUCUAGAAAGACAUGUUGACUACACUAUAGAAUUGCCCAUUAGAAGAGUGAGAAAAUCAGGGUACUUUUUCUCAACUCCCACCUGCCAUUGGUGAGAGCUACUUUCAGGGGACAUUAACACUGUCUUCCUGUCUGCCGUGCUAGGGCCAAACUCUCAGGCAGUCUUCAGAGUUUGUAGUAGGUCUCUAUGGAUGUGUCCUGGAACAGGAUAGGGUUGAGGUACAGAGAGCAUCUGCUAUAGCGUUUCUAUCAAUCAGUCCUUCCCAUCUUGCCAUAAACUAGACUGUCUGAAUGCUUUCACCAAUGAUAUCUAAUUGACGAUAGAGUAGUAAGGAAAAUAAUAGGUUUUUUUUAAGGUGGCAGGAGUUGUGAUGAAGGAUUUGGGUAAACAGAAUGCUGCCUGGAGAAUAGCAGGAGCACAUGGUUUGAGAUGAGUUUGCAAGGCUGUGCUCUGGAGAUUUCACCUGUUGAUAGUUCUUCCCACAUCUUAAUGAAUUAUAGCCAGCAGUGGGCAGUCAGCAGCCUCCCUUCUAGCCUCCUCUCUACUUCUCCCACUCCCAAUUUUACACAAAAAUGGGUGACUCAGGAAGUAACAGACACCAGAAAACUUAGUUUAAUUUAAAUUAUUUCAAUCUAAUUUAAUUCCAGCCAACCAUUUCCAUUCUAUUUCAUGUGAUUUAAUUCGAUAAAAUUAAAAAUUUAUUGAUUAUCUUUUAUGUGCUCAAUAAAUGUGCCUUCUAUGACUUUUCUUGGAGUAAAUCACCUUGAGAUAGAUUUGUGUUUUAAGACUGGGUCAUCUUGGGUCUCUCAACUGAUUUCAAUCUUCAAAUAUGUUCCCAGUCUGUUCGUCAAUCAGGAUUGCUUAGGGGAAAGCAAAUUGGACUUGAAAUCAACUUUAGUCCUGAGGCACUGCUCAGUACCUAUUUAGUAAGUUCGUCAUUGGGUAAGUCAGUCUGCAUUGCUGAGCCCUUUUUUUUUUUUCUUCUGAAAAAUGGAUAGUCCCUUCUACUACAUAUGCCUCUCUGUAUCCUGUGAAGGAUAAAUAAAAUAAUACAUAAGAAAACAUUUUUUGUAGCCUAUAAAGCCCUCAUACUUAUUCUAAAAACAUUUACUUAGUGUCUACCAUACACCAGUCACUUGUAUAUGGUAUAUUGCAUAUGGUGUAUGUGACAGUUGCUGAAUAUAUGGUGAUACACUGAUCUUCACCAUCAUGGGGAUUACAGUCUAGAGAUAUUAAUUGUUAUUGCUAUGUUUACAACGCAAUAGGGAAGGCACAAAAUUCUGUAACUUAUUAUGUCUGUUUUUAUGGAGUUUAAAAUCUAGGAAAGUAGAGGGAAAAUUAAUGAAGAAUAACAAGGCUGUAUACAGGGUUCUAGUAUAGUGCUGAGGCACAUAGAGAAAGAAUUAUGUGAAUGUUGGUAGGACUUCAAUAAAAUAAACUAGUAAAAAUCCUAUGUAGAAUAGCAGACACUGUUGGAACUCCACUCAGGUCUCCUUGGUUCCCUAUUACUGGCUCUCCAUUCCUUUCUCUCGGCUUCCGUGCUGUUUUCCUUCUAAAGCCAGCACCUGUGUCUCUUCUUUGGAGGCCUAGCCUUGGCUCUACCCACACUUGUGGAGAGCUGCAAGUACCUUGGAGUUUACAUCCCUGGGGCAGCCCUUAGUCAAUGACUGAUUAGUAUGGGUGUAAUUUGGAGGGAUAAUUUACACUUAACAGCUCCCCAGUGGGAUUAAGCUGAAGUUACCCUCUCUUAUACUUUGCCUGAAAUCACACCCUUGCUUGAUUUCUCCUGUCGGUCAUGCUCCUCACUCUUCCCUGGUUUCUCUUGGGCAUAGUUUCUUAAUAAAUUGAUUUCCCACAAGUUCUUGUCUUAGAUUCUGCAUCUGAGAAAUGCCAUCUAAGACAUACAGGAUUUUAGGUGGAAUUAACAGCUUGGGGCAAACUGUGAGUUUGGGAAAAUGGAAGCAGUGAUUGGGGAACAGCAAUUUUUAUGGUUUAUGGCUUGUGGGUAGAAGUUAUAAAUUUAACAUUGAAACCUGUCAAAUUAAUUCAUUCGAGAAACAUUUAUUGGGCAACUCUCAUGCGCCAAGCACUGGUUUUAGUCUUUGAGACAUGUGAGUGGGGAAAAAAAUAAAAUAAAAUUCCUGCCCUGAUGGAGCUUCUAUUCUAAUUGGAAGAAAACAAGACAACGAACAAAUAGAGUGUGUUUUAUAUGCAAUGUGUUAAAAGAUAAGGGCAGCAUGGGUAAUAUGGAGAAUCACUGGUUUUAUAGAACUUUGGGGAAAAUUUUGCCAAUGAGUCGUGGUAAGUUGUGAUCUUGGCUUUUCAAUUGUUCUUUAUCAAUGAUUUUAUUUCAAUAGCUAGACUUUUGAGGUAUGACUUAUGAUGUGGUUUGGCUGUGUCCCCACCCAAAUCUCAUCUUGAAUUGUAGCUCCCAUAAUCCCCACAUGUCAUGGGAGGAACCUGGUGGGAGUUAAUUGAAUCAUGGGGGUGGGUUUCUCCUGUACUGUUCUUGUGAUAGUGAAUAAGUCUCACAAGCUCUGAUGGUUUUAUAAAGGCAGUUCCCCUGAACACACUCUCUUGCCUGCCACCAUGUAAGAUGUGCCUUUGCUCCUCUUUCACUUUCUGCCAUGAUUGUGAAGCCUUGGCCUCCCCAGCGAUGUGGAACUAUGAGUCCAUUAAACCUCUUUUUCUUUACAAAUUACCCAGUCUCGGGUAUUUCUUCAUAGCAGUAUGAAAAUGGACUAAUACACCUUAGCAAUGACUUAUGGAGAAACUAUCUUAAAAUUGGGAGCAAGAUUAUUGUCUUAUUUAUGUGUUGUUGUACAACAAAUAAUCCCCACAUUUAGCAGCUUCAAAGAACAGUUAUCAUUUCAUGGUUUCUGUGGAUGAGUAAAUUUGGAUGAGGAUUAGCUGCAUUCUCUGGCUCAAGGUCUCUCAUGGGCUGCAGUCCCAUGGCUGGGGCUGGGGUUGGGGCUGGGCCUGCACCUGCAGUCUUCUGAUUGAAUUGUUUGAGUUGGGGAGAACCUGCCUCCAAGUUCACUCACUUACUGCCUGUUGGUAGUCCUCACUGGCUGUUGGCCGGAGAAAUCAGUUUCUUGUCCUGCGGCUCUAGCCAUAGAAGCAACUCACAAAAUGGCAGCUUAUAUCUUCCAAAGUGAGUGUUCCAGAAAGAAAGAAGGGAAAGCAAGGGAAGGGGAGGGGAGGUGAGGGAAGGGCAGGGGAGGGAAGGGAAACAGGAAGGAAGUUACAGUUUUUUGUACGUAAUUUAUGAAUGACAUCCUAUAACAUUUGCUUUAUGCUAUUCAGUACAGGCAAAUAACUAGGUACGGCCACUCACAAAGGAUUACCCAAAAAGGUGAAUGCCAGGAGGCAGACAUCCCUGGGGUCCAUAUUAUAGGCCACGUACCACAACGAUACUUUGUUUAUAUUUGGAGCAUUAGAACAUUCACUGGCUCCUUGCUUUCUGAGAAAUGGUUACAUCAUGUCAGGGGAUCUCCAACAUAUCACUUGGUGGAAACUUGACACAGAAGAUGCAAGGCAAAUUAUCACAAUUCAAAUUAUCUAUCUUAUAAUAUGAUAACAUGAAAUUCCAGAAAAUCUAUUUUAUUCUCCAAAUAUUUAUUAUACAGAUACACCUUUGCAUGUGUUAAGAUUGAAAAGUUGAAUGGUUAAUAUAGAAGUUUAAAAAUUAUAGUACGUUACCUUGGGGAAUUCUUCAGUGUGGACUGAAGUUGGUGCUACUUCUGAAAAAUCAGAGAAUAACAAAGUUUAGACUAAAAGUGGGUGCAUUAUUUCUUAAUGAAUAUUGCUGUUCUUUGGGAUCUUAUGCCCCAAUGUUUUGACGAGGUCAGUGUUUCAAUGAGGCCACCUUCCGUGCCACCUCUGGAUUGUUCGUUUUGAUAACAAACUUGGUGUGAGCUUUAGCCUCAUGAUUGGCAUUUGUUCCAGCUAUUAGGUUUCUUAAAAAGGUGGAUUUGGGUCAUUUCUAUGAAAUUCUUAUUUAUAAUGAAAAUUAUUGUAAAAGCUAAGGAUUUGAAAAUAAAGCAUUGAGAAUCAAUGGUUUCUGAACCCCCACAAUCUUGCUUUGAGACAUAUAAAAGCUUAAUAAUAAACAUCACAUUUUCCUGAGCUUCAUACACUGGGUUGAGUUCCAAAUUUUGGCUUGUCAUUGGUAGGGGCCCUCACAAUGAUCGUGUGUCACAGCUUGUUCCUCUAGAACACUUGGCUUAUUGCUAUUAUCACAGUACACUGCAAGUACUAAUUUAAACAUGUCCUUCCCAGGGAAGCCCUCAUAGGUUUCCCACAGAUGAAGUCAGUCCUCGUUAAUUUCUAUGUCCCCUUAGUUCCUAGUAGAGUGUCUGUAUUGCAAUAGCUCAACAAAUACAUUUAAUGAAAUAUGAAACAAACAGACAUGUCAAAAAGAGACCCAGGAGAUCACUAGGUAGGUGUGCUUGGUUACCACACAGAAUUCAUCUGGUAGGGAAAAAGGGAACAGGGAGAAGUCCCAGGAAGAAAAAACAAAAUGGGAUUUAUGUCUCAGUAUCCCCCUGCCUUCUCUUUCCCGUUGAUCAUAGUUCAUCCCAAAGGGUAGCUAACUCUUUCUCUCUCUUCCAUGUUGAAUCAUCUGGACUGUUGGUGGCUGAUCAGAUCUCAUGUCCCCAUUGUAGAAUUUUAUCAGUCUCCAGAAGUGGAGGCAUAAUUGGCCCAUCAGGAGCUCUGCCUAAGAGAGAGGAAGAAGGGGGUGAUGGAAGAAAUCUGAGAAAGUGUAAGCAGUGUAUAUUUCAUGAAACAUUUCUUUUCCCUAAAAUCUUAUUUAGCCACAGCGUAAGUGGGAUUUUCUCUCAACCUUUCCCCAGGACCUUUUCCCAUGUGCCCACUGGUCUCUUUGGAUCCCUCUCUGUUCCUGCCAUUCAGGAGCCUAGUACCAUUCCAUUACCUGUCUCAUGAAUAGCAAUUACCCGCUUCUCUGAGGUUUGCGGAUUUGGAAACUUCUUUGCUGUACAGGGUCUCCCCGUCCCAGAUGGGUGAUUAGGGUCUUUUUCCUAAAUAAACCUUUUGUCUUUAAGAAAAUUAAAAAAAAGUUGACCAUUAAGAAAAUAUAGUUAUCCCUACCUCAUCACCCAAAUGACCUGUCCUGGGCUGGUUACUUUUACUUUGUAAAUUUCACUCUCUUCCCCACAUAUCCACAGAUAGAAAUAACUUUAAACUGUGGGGCCGCUUUCAGGCACAGAUUUUGGAAGUAGGAAUUGAGGCUGGGAGUUACUUUUCAAUCUAACCUUCUUCUUAAUGAACACACAUUUGGAACUGGUGGCCAGUUGAGAGGUUGUGUAAACGAAUGUGGAACAUCAGGGUAGGCAAGGAAAACAUGGCAACAUGAAGCAGAAAGGCAGGGAACAUUUCUAAAGGCAGAAUGUAAAUCAAGGGCUUCUUUUUUUCCUGUGAGAAGAGGCCACCCUGAUGGACAGAGUGCCUACACCAGUCGUGAUGUUGUGAGAAAUAACAAUGGAGGCUGCAGGAUGUCAUAAGACAAACACCAUCUCAAACUGGGGGAAGGCUGCCUCCAAGCCUGUCCUUACACCCUGCCCUCUCCUGCUGCCUGGCCCCUUACUGUCCUCUUCCUUUCUCCCUAAACUUGCCCCUUGCUGGUUUCUUCACAUGAUCUGCAUUGAGCCUGGAUGGCCCCCAAACACCUGUUUGAACAAUAAACACGAAUGACUGUGGUGGUCCUGUCAGCCCUCGCUCUUUGUAAAAUAACUGCUGAUCUACAGCCCUGACUGGAAUUGAUUUCCCAGACUAUUCUAUGUCUUUUCAUUGACAGGCAUUGAAAUCUGCCUAACACUCUCCUCCUCCUCAUGAUUGUAAGAUCUUAAGUAGCCAAGAGUUGUGAGGAACACAUCUCAACAUUGCCCCUGGAGUCAGUUACAAAUCAAACACUGUGCUUACAAACCCUUACAUUUUGAAAAGAACACUUUGCAGUGAUUAAAUAUUUAUGCGUGGCACACACUUGUAACCUUGAUGAUUUAUUUAGACUUUAUAACUUGUAGUAAAAUAUAAAUUCUUUCCCAGCAUGACACAUACACACACGCAUAUAUGCAUAUACAUAUACAUAUAUAAUAUAUUUAUAUAUAAUCUCUUUCCCCUGCAUAUGGGACAUCCAGCAUACUGGAUGAAAAAAAUGCAUCUGUUUUCUUGUGUGUGUGUGUUUUUUUUCUUUUAGUGGUCUCCAUAAAUCUAGGGGAGCUCCUUCUUGGACUACUAGCCUCUUUCAAUAGAAGCAUGUUUUCACUGGGAUUUCCACAUUCAUAAUUAUUCCUCUCAUUUCUCUGCCGUGAGAAGACAAGCUGGUAUUUCAUUGCUUUGGGGAAGUUAAUAAUAUGGUAGGCAAAACAUCAGGAAAAAUUAUAAUGAAUGAAGCUAUACAAAUCGGAGGGAAACACAUGUCGCUGUUCUGAAACGUUCCUGUCGUAAAUCCUGGAAAUUUCACUAUAGUCACAAGCAAAUAACUCCUUAAUGCAUAAACACUCAAUUAAUUAAAUGUAAUAUGCCAUAUAAGCUUGAAUGAGUUCUAAAUAGAAAAAUGGUCAAAUAAUAGUACUGGAGACCACUGACUAAUAGGUGUUCAUCUCAGCCAUCCAAAAUUUCUCAACUGGUCUCAGACUAAAAUGAGCCCCAUCCAUGGCCCCCUUUAAAAGAACUAUAUGUUCUAUAUAUAAAAGUAAUAUUAACUCCUUAUUUAGUAAUAGUGAUUGAGCCUCACACUCAGACUUUUAAAAAAAUCUUGUCUUAAAUUUCUAUCUCUUGGGAUGUCUCUAGAGCAGUUGUUUGAAGAGCUCUGUUUUCUCCAUUAUUUCCAAUUUAUGGAAGCCUGGGUUUUAUUAUCCUCCUGCCCCUCUUAAGUUUCUUGAACCAUUUUUAUAUGGUGUUUAAGGGGACACAUCUCACCUGACUGAUAUUUUGUAAUCCCUAAAUAGCUACUCCUCAAAUAUGACUCUGAAAAUACUUCUAAUAGAUGUGCAAAUAUUUUGAGAAGUGAAAAGCCUUUUCCAACACGAGGUUGGGUCAAAGGGCCAAUUUGAGUUCUUAUAUGUGUAGGUUUUUAUAUCACCCCAUGCCUUUCUCUGUUGCUGUACUCACUGUAUUUUAUUGAAAGUAACUGAAAUUGUAUCUUUUCCACUUGGGGGAUCUUAGUGGCUAACACUAAGAUUUUUAGCCUGAAGCACAAUGGUGUUCAAUAUUUGUUUCCUGCAUAUGCUCACUCAGUCACUCAGUCACUCAGCAAACCUCUAUUGAACACCUAUUCCAUGCCUGGUACUGGGCCAGACAUUGGAAAGCUACAAUAAACCAGACAUGAAAGGAUCCUUUGGAGCUUAGGGUUCACUAUGUUUUUAUAUGUUUAGGCAAACUGAAAUGAAAUAAUUUUAUAAAAGGAAAGGACCUUGGAGAUUUGCUCUUCAACUCUUUAAUUGUAAAACAGAGAUACUUAAACCUGAGUAAGAAUAGGUCUUAUUUUUCAUUUCAGAGCUGACUAAACCUAGAAUUCAGUUAUUUUUCAAUGUUUUUUUUCCCCAAGCUAUGUGGCCUCUACUUGCUAUCUUUUGAUAGUAACAAAACAAUGUAACUGUCUUGGAACAGAUGGAAGAAAAAGGAAAUGAAAUCAGUCCUCAUUAAUUUCUGUGUCCCCUUAGUUCCUAGUAGACUGUCUGCUCUUUUAGGAAGAGUUGUUGAGCCACUUUUCUUUUUGUAGAAACUGGAAAAAUCAGACUCAUUUUUACAGAGGCAUUGACUAAACCUUAAAUUUUUUAAUUUUUAAAAUUAACUAUAGAAGUGAUAGCUCUUCAUAUUAUGCUUAAUGCAUAAUGUGGUAUAGAAUUUGGGAAAGUAUAAAGUAUUUUUUGUGAGACAGAGAGAAAGGAGGAUUUGUAUGAUGUAGUUUUGUUGCAUUUACAAGCCCCCUGCCACAUCUCAAAUGUCAUAGGACAAUCAUUUAUUUCCUAUGGCAUCUUUGUUGGCAUCUGUGGGUUAGCUGCCAUUCAGAAACCAGGAUGAAGAAACAAUUCUUAUCAGGGACCUGCUUUUUUUUGUGGGGAAAAAAAGUGUAAAAGAGAGUCUGUAGAAAUAUAUGCAGUGGUUUUUAAAUAUUCUUAAACAUAAUAAGUAUCAAGUCAAUUUGCAAGUGACAUGGCCGAAGCCAACAUCAAUGGGGUUGGGGAAAUCUACUCUUCCACAGGAGACACUGUAUCAUGGUUUCAGGUGGCGAUGCCUAAUUCACCCACAAGAAUGGACAGAAACUUCGAUUGUUAGGACAACAAGAAGAAUAUUAUAUUGUUAGGAAGAACAAUAAAAUCUACCCCACAAAGGCAGUAUUUGUGAGCUGGAGUGAUGUGACUUUUCACUUGCCCUUUCCCUGCCCUGAAUAGCCUCAGCCCCUCUUCUAGCUGGUAAACUCCUACUCACCUUUAGGACAAAUAUGGACAUCUGAGGAAAAAGCAUUAGUCUCUCAUUCCUUGGUGUGCUUGGGUCCUGACAUCUCUUGUGAAAUUUAUCAUAAUAUAUUGUCCGGAGGAGCUCUGUUUUGUUCUCUUUCCCAAGAGCUUGGCACUGUCUCAAAUAUCGUAUGUGGUCUCCUGUAUUAGGCCAUUUCUGCAUUGCUGUAAGAAAAUACCUGGCACUGGGUAAUAUAUAAAAUAAAAGGCUUGGUUGGCUCACAGUUCUGCAGGCUGUACAGGAAACAUAACGCCAGCAUCUGCUUUUGAGGAGACCUCAGGAAACUUACAGUCACGGUGGAAGGCAAAGCGGGGACAGGAGCAAGAGAGAGAAGGCUGGUGGGUGAGGGGACACACACACAGUUUUAAAUGACCAGAUCUCAUGGGAACUCACUAUCAGGAAGAGAGCACCAAGCCAUGAGGGUCUGCCCCCAUGAUCCAAACAACCUCCUACCAGGACCUACGUCCAGCACUGGGAAUUAUAAUUCAACAUGAGAUUUAGGUGGGGACAAAUAUCCAAACUGUAUCAGCUCCCUAGAAAUUCUCUUUCUCUCUCUCUUGUUUCUUUGUUUAACUUUUAAGUUUAGAUGUACAAGUGCAGGUUUGUCACAUAGGUAAACGUGUGUGGUGGGCAUUUGUUGUACAGAUUAUUUCAUCACCCAGGUAAUUAGCUUAGUAUCUAUUCAUCAUUUUUCCUGAUCUUCUCCUUCCUCUCACACUCCAUCUUCUGAAAGGCCCCAGUGCAUGUUGUUCCCCUUUAUGUGUCCAUGUGUUCUCAUCAUUUAGCUUCUCCUUAUAAGUGAGAACAUGCGAUAUUUGGUUUUCUGUUCUUGCAUGAGUUUGUUGAGGAUAAUGGCCUCCAGCUCCAUCCAUGUCCCUCCAAAGAAAUGUCCUCGUUCUUUUCUAUGGCUGCAUAGUACUCCAUGGUGUAUAUGUUCCACAUUUUCUUUAUCCAGUCUAUCAUUGAUGAGCAUUUAGGAUGAUUCCAUGUCUUUGCUAUUGUGAUUAGUGCUGCAAUAAACAUUUGUUUGCAUGUGUCUUCAUAAGAGAAUGAUUUAUAUUCCUUUGGGUAUAUACCUAGUGAUGGGAUUACUGAGAUAAAUGUUAUUUCUGUCUUUAGGUGUUUGAGGAAUUGCCACACUGUCUUCCACAAUGGCUGAACUAAUUUACAUUCCUUCUAACAGUGGAUAAGCCUUCCUUUUUCUCCACAACCUAACCAGCAUCUGUUAUUUUUUUAUUUUUUUUAAUAAUAGUAAUGCUGACUGGUAUUAGAUGGUAUCUUGUGGUUUCGAUUUGCAUUUCUCUUAUGAUCAGUGAGGUUGAGCUUUUUUUCAUGUAAUUGUUGGCUGCAUGUAUGUCUUCUUUUGAAAAGUGUCUCUUUAUGUCCUUUGACCACCUUUUUAUGGGGUCGUUUGCUUUUUUCUUGUAAAUUUGUUUAAGUAGAGUAUAGCUGGAACAUUUGUAAUUAGGAAAUGGCUUUAAAGUAACCAUAUUGUGGUUUAGGGGAUAGAAACAAUGAGUACAGGUGAUUUUAGAAACAAAGACUCGUAUUUUAUAGUUCUCUGUGCUAGAAAAGUUUCCUUUGUGACUGUCUUUUUCUAAUUCCUCUAAGAACAUAAGCACUAGAGAAGGAGAAUUUUUUUUUCUUCAGAUGUAUUUCCACGGUGUCAAGCUAAUAACCAAAUAACCUGAAGUACUCAAAGAAAAAUCACCCCCAAAGUACUUAUCAUGCAACCUUGUACAUAAUAGGUCCUUCAUAGAUUUUUAAAACUAAUUUGCAUCUGAUAAAGAAAAAGAGAGAAGCCAGGAUUUUAGUAGUAAAUUUAGUGGUAGGAACUGAAACACUUUUUGGCAGGAGGAGGUAAGAAAUUAUAGGCAUUUCUGAGGCCACUUUUUCCUAAAAAAUGAGAAAGAAGGAAAAGAAGGAGAAGGAGAAAGAAAGAACGUAUUGCAUGGAAAAGGUCUGAAAGUUUACUAAUGAACAGAUCACUGAUAUGUAUUGUAGAUAUCAAGCAUGUUAGGAGCACCUGAGUGACUGAAUUUGAAAACAUGGAUUUUCAGGGAUCCAUCUUCCUGAUUUUCUAACAUCUAGGGAGUUACUCCAGGGUUCUUCAGCAAGCACAAUGCUACAAGUUCGGUCUAUUAUUGGCCCCAUGCUCUGUUUACUGAAUUCUUCAUCUCAACUCCUGCUGAAAUUCCUUCUAGACCAACUUCUAUGGGCAAAUAUUUUUCCUCAUGUCAUAAGUGCUUUGAAGUUUAAAGGGAUGCUGUCUUAGGAGGAAGAAAGCAAGCAAACAAGAAAAAGUAAAGAGGUGAAGAGAUGGGAAGGAGAGAGCUUACUAGGUGAGAGAAGAAGGAAAGAGGGAUACAUAAUGAUGAAGAUGCCGAUUUUGAAUUCAGUGAAUGAAGUUCUAAAUCGUGAUAUAUGUGUGUAUCUACUGUGUAUGGAGGGGAGAGGAGAGGGAGAGAGAGAGACAAAGGUAUGGGGAGAGACUGUGAAGUGACAGAACACAACCAGCUCUCCUGGAAAUUUACCCUUUCCCAGGUGUUAGGACAAUGAAAGAAACAAAAUUUCCAUUUAUCAAAAGACUUUCUGCAUUCCAAGUAAUUUCCUAGAUGUUUUGUAUCAAUUAUCUUAUUGAAUUUCUAUUUUCGGAUGUAAGUAUUACAAUUCCCUCCUAGAGGUGAAGAAACUGUGGCUCAGGAAGUUUGAAUGACCAGAUUGGGAGGGUAGUGAAUGAGCCCAUAAUAUUUUUCCCAUUGCCUUGGGGCUUAAACUCAAUUAAAUAAUGGCCUAAUUAAAUAGACAUGAUAUACAUUAUUUAAAUAAGUGUAUAGACCAGAAAAGCAGGGAAGAGACCCAAAGAGUAUGAUAUUUUCUGCUGUCUGGAUUCAGAUCUACUCGACACUCUUCCCCUAAUUGACUUCGCACCACAGAGAGUGACCUUUGCAACCUGCAAGGCCAGGCAACCUUUAUCAAUUGGCCAAUGGGAGGCCCUUUCAGGAAGCUGAACAACAGGGAAAGGGACAAUGCCAAGGUCUUUCUGCCUGCCUCUUUUUGCUUCAAGAAGCAUCUCUGGCCAUAGUCACAGCUUCCCCUGUUGUUCCAACUCCUGCUGGGCAGCCCCUCACUUCAGAGUAGCUGUAGGUCCUGAGCUCUGGUCAUGCCACCACCAUUUGAUGCUCUUUCCACAGAAGGGAUAGUGGCUUUCUGCUGUUGCUAACCUCUGGGUGGUCUCACCAUCUCCUGUUUGCUCUUUUAGCCCUCCCAGUGCUGUAACUAGUUCCCAUAUUAAAUUACCUCUAGUGUACUCUCUGGCACGGCUUCCAUUUUCUGACUGAACCCAGAAUGAUACACCAUCGGAAUGAGAUGUCCUAAUAGAAGACACCAGACAAGAUGGGGGCAGAUCAGAAAGGCCUUUGUAGUAAAGGUGACUAGAAACUAUCCUUUGAGAGACCAGCAUUGACCACACAAAGCAAAAAAGGGCAUUCUAAAGAAAACUAAUAGUAAGUGUAUUUUGCCUUUCCUUUAGUGCUCAUUGGGUAGAAUUGCUUAGAUAGGAAUGCUGGAUCCAGGCAGUGAAUGUACAUGCAUAUGAUAUAUGUCCAAUUAUAGUUUGUAUGUAUUCUAGGUACAGUGAGAAAGCCAAAAUAUCAGGGAAGCAGGGAAAGGUGAACUCAAGAGACAAGAAAAGAAUGUGUCUAAUUGGAGCAAAGAGAACAGCCAGAAACAGGCACAUGAAUUUAAAAAAGGCUUUUGAAGACCAGAGCCAAUACUAUUCUGUUUGUAUUGCUCUAUUAUUUCUUUUAGAGGGUUCACGCAUCUACUGUCAUACAUAACAUGUUUGUUCCUUUAUUUAGCCAACAUUUGCUGAGCCCCGGUGCUAUGUCAGGAUCUGUGCUAGGCAUGGGGCACCCAGAGACAAAGGAGACUCAGCCCUGCCUUUUAGUGCUUGGAGCCUAGUGGGAGAGAUAGAAAAAUGAAGUGGAAAAUGAGAAGCAGCACAUCACGAUGCCGUAUCAUGAACAUGCUGGCAAAAGGGGUAGACCUGGAGCUUCCUGGGCAGUUUUAAGAAGCAUGCAGAUGGAAUUGGCAAGACUUGGUGAUCAGUCUGGAGUUAAUGAAUAAGAAAGAAUUAGAAUUGACAUUUCAGAGUUUCAGGGUUUGCCAUGUGUCGGAAGAUAGUGGCAUGUGGCAAUCCUGUGAUAGCUAUUGGAUCAUUGAGCAACUGAGGCAAGGCUAGAAUUCAAAACAAGAGACAAAGCAUUGACCACUAGUCUUUUUAGAAAACUUCAUUUUUUGUCUUGUUUUCAUCUUAUAGAUUAUUUGGAGUGGGAAAGGGAUGGAGACUCAAGACUAUUGGCUCUUGAAAAAAAAUACAUAUUCUAUUUGUAAAGGGCAAGAGCUUUAGUGCCUUAUCUAGUUUGUGUUAAAGUCCAGUUCACCCACUUAAUUAUUAUGUGGCCUCAAGUAAAUUGCUUCUCAGCUCCAACUACCUGGCCUCUGAAGGGCAGUAUCACUGGGGCAGAUGACAGCUCUCCAAAUGCUGAUGUUUGGAUCGCAGAGAUGUUGGAAUGGAAAAGGCCUAGUCACCUAUCUGGCACAUAGAAGAAGCUCCCAAAAUAUUGAUUUCCAUUUCACACACUCUUUGUUCUUAAAAUCUCUGAUAUAAGGUUCAGUAUCUUAAAAUGUCAAAUGCAUAAUUAUCUUUGCUUUCUUGAAGAUGCAUAACUAUUCUUCUCAUAAAUAGGCUGAUUAGGGAGAAUUUCAAUGAAAUUUUUUUUUAUUAUAAAUGAAAAAAAAACAAAGGCCUUAGGGUAUGUUCCAGAUAACUAGGCAUAACAAGAAAUUUUAAAGACUAAAAUUAAUGUUAAAAAAUGCUCAAUAGGUCCCUUAAAUAUUUGGAGUUAUUUUCAGGUAUUUGAGGUUCUUCCAUGUAUGGAAUACACACUGUUUUUGUAAUGCUGGUAAUUUAGUGACAGAUGCUGUUUGAGGUUCAAUGUAAUGGAGUAUGUAAAAAUGAGGAAGCAAUUAAGGAAUUUUUAGUUCCCUCUGAGGCUUGCAAAAAUUGCUUAAAUAUAGCUAUCCAAAGCAACAUACAUUUUUUAUCAAAGCCAAAUUUGAAUGUUAUUUAAUGCUCAACCUUUGGCCAGGAAUAGAUGUCAAGUUUUUCUUUUUAUUGUUAUUUUUAAUUUAAACAAAUGUUGCCUUGGAUUGCUUUCCCUUUAGCAGAAUGUUUGUGAGUCUCAAAGGAAACUCCUAGAAUGCUUUUUUUCUUGGUUUAACAUUUACAAAGCAUACUGGAUCUCUGGCUGAAGGGAAUGGUGCAAAUACCAAAUGCACGGCAUAGCAAAUGACUUGGUCAUUUCCCACUUUCUUUCCCUUCAUGUUUCUGCCAUUAGGAAUCCCACCCACCUUUUAAAGCCCAGCUCAGAAGCUUUGUAGUGGAAAGAGCCUAGACUUUGCUGCCAGAGAAAAAAAAAAUUGUAACAGUGAUAUUCUUGGGCUCCAAACUCAGGCAAGUACUCCAUUCAAAUCCCUUGGACUGGUUGCUUAAACUUGCAAGACUCGCUCUUCCCUCCCAUUGAAUGGAAGUCCUAGUACUACACAGCGUUGCUGAGAGGAGACCACAGGUUACAGUCAGCUGUUGUUACACUGCCCAACAUCCAUGGCACUUUCUUCUGGUAACAGCAGUCCAAAUGCACUUUGGAUAUUCUGAUAGUGAGACGUUGAUCAGUGGUCAUGUGAUCAAGGAAAGGUCAAUCAGAGGCUCUUUCCCUGGAAUUUGAGCCUUGCGGGAGGAGCACCAAGAUGCAGAGCACGUGGAGCUCAUCACUAUUGGUGCAUGUAGCCUCCAGUCACUAGUACUCACUGCCUGGGUUUUCAGAAACUGCCUUGGGUCUUGCUCUUUGAAAACUGGUUCUUCAGUUUUCUCUUCAACGUGGUGAGCUGCUCCUUGUAUUCCUGGUAAUUUUUUUUCCUAAAUUAUGCAUAAUUGAUUUCUGUUGCUUAUAAUGAAAGAACUGCCAAUAGACAUUAGAAAUAUUAGACCCUUCAUCAUUUUCUUACCAACACAAACUCUAUGUGUUCUUCUCCAAAGUCAGAGGUCUGUUUCCUUCCCCAAGGUCAGAUAGCAUUGUUUAUACCACUGUGUGAUGGUUAAUAUUAGGUGUCAACUUGAUUGGAUUGAAGGAUGCCUAGAUAGCUGGUAAAAUAUCAUUUCUGGGUGUGUCUGUGAUGGUGUUGACAGAGGAGAUUGAAAUUUGAGUCAGUGGACUGGGAGAGGAAGACUUACCCUCAGUGUGGGUGAGCACCAUUCAAUUGGCUGCCAGCACGGCUGAAACAAAGCAGGUGGAAGAUGGCAGAAGAAGCUUGAUUGCUGAGUCUUCUGGCUUUCAUCUUCCUUCCGUGCUGCAUGCUUCCUGCCCUUGGACAUCGGACUCCAGGUUCUUUGGCCUUUGGACUCUUGAACUUACACUGGUGGUUUGCCGGGGGCCGUCGGGCCUCUGGAAAUAGACUGACACUGUCAGCUUCCCUACUUUUGAGGCUUUUGGACUUAAACUGAGCCAUUACUGGCUUCCUACCUUCUCACUUCGCGGAUGGCCUAUCAUGGGACUUCACCUUGUGAUUGUGUGAGUCAAUUCUCCUUAAUAAACUACCUUUCAUAUAUACAUAUAUCCUAUUGGUUCUGUCCCUCUGGAGAACACUGACUAAUACAAACUGUUAAUGAUUUAUAGCCCUUUAUGCCUUGUAGGGUCAUUCACCUGUGACCCUGGUUCAUCCAAAGACCCUAUUCCUUGUGGGGAGGGAGUCAUGCACCCCCUCAAGACUCUGUGCCUGGUGGAACCUUUGUCUUACUGACUUGCUCAUCCAUACAGGUGUGGGCCUUUCAGGAGACCAUGCUUCUUUAAGGACUGUUUCUCAAACAGAAUGGCAUCCAAGCCCAAUGUCUUUGGGAAAUUUUGCAUUCUGCUGACACUCAGGCUGAUAAAUCUUAUGAUAAAGGCAAAUCAAAUCAAAACAAAUUGAAACACUUUGAAAUCAGGAUUUUCUAAAUCAUUUUGACAGUAGACACUAACCUCUACAUUUAGUAUUUGUUGGCACAGGGGUAUGAUUGAGGAGUAGGGAGAGUAGGUUGACUGAGAACACAUAGCUACAGCAAUGGCAUUUUGUGGCCUUUUGGAAACUAGGAUUUUCUAAACCAGUGUUUUGGAUCACCCCAGUUUUCUCAGUAGCAGCCAGUUUGAUUCAUUACCAUUUCAUUCAAGUACUACUCAACAAAUAUUUAUUGAGGAUAACUUUAUUCAACAACUAUUUUGUACUAGGCCUGCACUUCGGUCCUGGGAUGCAAGGAAUUAUAAAAUGCAGUUUCUACUCUCUAGGGGCUUACACAGGGGUAAGCCUGAGACACAGGUGUGAUCGCCACCAAGUCAGGCAAGGCUGCGACGCAGCAGACAUGGGGUGAUGUGGGGGCACAGGAGAAGGGCUGUUCCACUUGGGUAGCCAUGGUUAGGAGAAGGUGUUCUGAAUGACACUGCACCUGAGCUCAUUCUUGAGGGAUGAAUAGGAGUUAUUUGUCUUUAGUAAUAAUAUCGUCAGAGUUUGGCUAACAUUACAAAGUGUUUACACUGAGAGAGGCCCUUUAUGUGUGUUUUUAAAUUUAAUCCUAGGCCAGGCAUGGUGGCUCAUGCCUGUAAUCCCAGCACUUUGGGAGGCCGAGGUGGGUGAAUCACCUGAGGUUAGGAGUUCAAGACCAGCCUGGCCAACAUGGAAAAACCCCAUCUCUACUAAAAAUACAAAAAUUAGUCGGGCAUGGUGGCACAUGCCUGUGGUCCCAGCUACUUGGGAGACUGAGGCAGGAGAAUCGCUUGAGCCUGGAAGGCGGAGGAUGUAGUGAGCCGAGAUCGCCCCACUGCACACCAGCCUGGGAGACAAGGUGAGACUCCAUCUCAAAAAAAAUAAAUAAACAAAAUUAAAAAAAUAAAAAUAAAUUAAUCCUCACAGUGACCUCACAAUAGGUACUGUUAGUAUUCUCAUGUCACUCAUGUGGAAACUGAGGUACAAGGUGAAAUUCAUGUCUGAGUUGCAUUCCCCCAGGCCCAAGAAAAAGUUAAAUAUUUUUCCUUUCAUAGCACUUCAUACUCACCAUUUCUAUGGAUCGCCUAAGGUCAGGAGUUUGAGACCAGCCUGGCCAACAUGGCAAAACCCCGUCUCUACUAAAAAUACAAAAAUUAGCCAGGCAUGGUGAUGGAUGCCUCUAAUCCCAGCUACUCAGGAGGCUGAAACGGGAGAAUCGCUUGAACCAGGAGGCAGAGGUUGCAGUGAGCCGAGAUCAUGCCACUGCACUCCAGCCUGGGCGAUAAGAGUGAAACUCCGUCUCAAAAUAAAUAAAUAAGUAAAUAAAAUAUCUUACUUUUAAUAAAUCUGAAGGCUUAUAUUGUAGUAACUGUGGGUUUUUUUUUUCUAAUUAGAUUGCUUAAUCAGGGACACUGAGAUUUAGAAAAGCUAAUUGACUUCCUUGAUAAAAUGUUGGUAUAUUGUGAUUUGGAAGAACCUCUCUUACUUGCUGAUAUUUAUGUUAUACAGUCUCUUACCUGACACAUACUCUAGCAAACUGUAAAGAAAGAACAAGCAGCUGAGGGUGUGCUGUAGCAGCUGAGCUUUAGCCUAGAAAAAGUUGGAAACAGAGUACAAAUUUCCCAUGUUGGCUCCCUUUGAUGUUAUAGUGCAUUUGACCUCAAGAAGCUCAACUCUUAAGUUAUGUAACUUAAAAAAAAAACAUAUUCACAUAUUCUCUGUUCCUCUCCAAUGUCUUAGGUUUCUAACAUUUAUAAUGUAUUACAGUCUUGGAUUGUAAUUACCAAGAUAAAUGAUGAACAUAUUUUUUAAAAAAUAUAUUCCCUGGCUGAGCAACCUGACAGGCUGCUUUGGUCUAUUUCCAUGUGUCCUCAAUGAGGUGCGCUGGCAGGAACCUCUGAUGAAACUUUCAUCUCUCUUGAUCCUGAUCAUGAUUUUCUGCAAAAUGUCUCUACAAAUUCCAUAUGGGGUUUUCACAUUUUCCAUAUCUUCCUGGGGCCAAAGCAGUACAAGUCUAAAACCUGGAUCAGCAUUUUCUCCCUGAGAUGUUGGUACUGCCAUCAUUAUGGGAUACAUUACCUUCUCUUUAUCCUCAAUUUCUACCUUACCAGUGAUCACUUCUGCACAUACAGAUACAUACACAUAUACGCAUCCCCAGAAUGGCAGUGUACCUGGAAAGUCACAAAGGAAGGCAAGUUUAAUGUCUAGAUUCCUGGACUAGUAGUAAUACGUACUUGAACGUCAGGUAAUGUUUACCCAUUCUACCCCUGAGCGACCCGAAAAAACACUUUACCUAUAAAUAUUUCACGUGACAAAGACUGGUGUUAAAAUAGAAUACUCGUGCCCUUUUCUCAAGUUCCUCCAUGGACCCUUUCCUAGGCCUUAGGGAGCACAAUCUAUAGGAAAGGACCCAAGAAUCCCCAACUCAGUCCUUACAUGGCUGCCUAAAGUGCCCUGUGACCUGAGACACAUCACUUAAUCCUUCUGUUUUAUCAGUUUCUUCAACUUUAAAGGAGCCCUUGUUCUACCUUUUCAUAAGUUGUAGCAUUAAAAUGCAAAUUCCCGGCCUGGCGUGGUGGCUCACCCCUGUAAUCCCAGCACUUUGGGAGGCUGAGGCAGGUGGAUCACCUGAGGUCAGGAGUUCGAGACCAGCCUGACCAACAUGGAAAAACCCCCUCUCUACUAAAAAUACAAAAAUUAGCCAUGCAUGGUGGCAUGCACCUAUAGUGCCAGCUACUUGGGAGGCUGAGGCAGGAGAAUUGCUUGAACCAGGGAGGCGGAGGUUGCAGUGAGCCAGGAUGGCACCAUCGCACUCCAGCCUGGGCAACAAGAGUGAAACUCUGUCUAAAAAAAAAAAAAAAAAAAAAAGUGCAAAUUCUCUUGGGAAAUGUUACAUACUAUACUUUAAAAAUCACACUUUACUAUGAGCAAGUAAUCAUUUAAGUUUAAGAGGUCUUGCUUGUCAAAAAGUGAAAUUCUCAUCUUCUUUUAAUUGUCUUCUAUCAACAGAUUGGGAAAAAAGAAUUCAUUUUAAAUGGUGCAGCAAAAACAGCUGUUUUAUAUGUGUAUCAACCUUCAUUUAUGAAAAAGCAGAUAAGCCUAAAAAUGCCAAGUAAAUAAUAAAAUAGAGAAACAUGUUGGUUUAACCUCCUCCUUAAGAGUCAUCGAACUAGAGUCUACAUUGAUGUUCCUCCAAGAACAAUUUCCUUUUGGAACAACUUCUUUUUAACAGCAGUUUAAAUAAUAAUGUUUGCUAUUGGUUACAUUUCAUCUUCCCAAAACUCACCAGUCGAAGUGCAUCUCCCCAUUCCUCAGAAUGUGACAUCAUUUAGAAUAGGAUCUUUGCAGAAGUAAUCAAAUUAAAAAGAGGUCAUUAGGGUGGGCCAUAAUCCAACAUGACUAUUGUCCUUAUAAAAAGAGAAAAUUUGGACACAGAGAAACACAUGAAGGGAAGACAACACAAAGACAAAUCGGGAGAAGAUGGCCAUCUACAAGCCAAGAAGGGAGUCCAGAAACAGAUGUUUCUGUCCCAGCCUUCAGAAGGAAUCAACCCUGUGGACACGUUGACUUUGGACCUCUAGCCUCUAGAACUGUGAGAUGAUAAAUUUCUGUUGUAUAAGUCAUCCAGUUUGUGGUACUUCGUUACAGCAGCCAUAGCAAACUAAUACAGUAUAAAUAGCAAUAUAACUAAUAUUGAUGGUCAGUUCUAGCUAAUGUGUAUUGAGUGACCACUACAUUUCAGGUCCACUACAUACAUCAUUGUCGCUGUGUUACCUAGUCAAUGAAAGUUUCCAUCAGAGUGUGGCUAUAGAGGUAAAUUCCGGGUAAUAAAAAGAUGCUACCUUUUUGGAUGAUGGGGAGGAAAAAAAACAUUCAUAGCAGAGGGAAUGGUAAAUUCAGAGGCUUUGAAGGGGUAUUAACAGAAAGGUCAGUGUGGUUUGAUUAAACUAAUUGAGGAGGAGAAGAAUACCUGUUGUCUAGGUUAGAGAUAAACUUUUUCAAAAUCAGGUAGGGCCCACUCAGGUAUUCUAAAAUAUACAUGGCUCAGCUUACUGAUAUCAGCUUACAUAUGGAAGACCUCUUUCUAGAGUCUUUUCAUAUCAACACAUUUCUACAAAGCAUUGGGUUUAAAUUUGGAGAAAGACAUUCACUUAAAGAGAAGCCCUUUACAUCCAAUACCUUAAGCACUUUUUUUCUCAAGCCCUGUGACAAAUUAGGGGGAAGUCAAGAAAAGGAUCCAGAGGAAUGGGAUGAUUAUUCUUUCAAAUGAGAAAAUCAAGGCCCAGAUAAUUUAGACACACUGUAAAGAGAGACUGAGCCAGCCCUGGAGCCCAUAAGUCCUCAAAUCCAUGUGACCGUCUUUCUUGCUUUUAUAGAUAAGAACAACACUAAGGAUUUAGCAGAAAGUGACCUGCAUCAAAAAUGUCCAGCUAUUGAACUCCUAUUUAUUCUUCAAGGCCCCAGCACUACACUACUUCAUCCAGGAAAGCUUCCUGUUUUUCUACUAAAUCCAGUAUCUCCCUCCUCCAAAAUCUACCUCUCUAGGACACCACUUUAUACCUUUCUAUGUGCAUGUUUUAUUUCUCUCAUAAGACAGUAAACUUCACUCGUGUAAUAUUCUUCCAUAGGGCACAACUGCCUUAUAUAGCCAAUGAAUUAAUUAGUAUGGAAGGAUUGAAUAAAAACAUUAAACAGACCAGCAAUUUCUCUUCUCCUUUUUGGGUCCAUUUCCGUACCCAAGAGGAAAGAAAACAUAUAUCUGCACACAGAUUUGAGUGUUCAUAGCAAUUUUAUUUAUAAUAGCCCUUAAACUAGGAGCAGUGCAAUGCCCAUUGACUGGUAAGUAGACAGACAAAUGUGUUAUUGCCAUGUAAUGGAAUAAAAAGGAAUGAACUACUGAUGCACAUUAUAUUAUGGAUGAAACUCAAAAACAUUAUGUUAAAUGAAAGAAGCCAGACAUGAGAAACUACAUAUUAUGUGAUUCCAUUUAUAUAAAAUGUCUCCAAAAGGAAAAUUUAUAGAGACAUAAAGUAGACUAGUUUUUGCCUGGGGCUAGGGCUGGGUUGGGGAUUAUUGUAGUUGGGUGUGAAAGAUCUUAUUGGGGAUGAAAAUGUCCUAAAGCUGAUUUAUGAUAAUGGCUGCACCACUUAAUAAAUUAACUAAAAAAUUAUUAAAUUGUACAUAUGAAUUGGGUGGAUUUUAUUGUAUGUAAAAUACGCCUCAAUAUACCUGUUAAAAAAAGAAUAAAAAUAGUAUUCAAGUAGAUUGAGAGAUAGGAUGAAGGUGAAGAUGGAAGAGAACAUAACUGUCCUCCCUCCCCAAAUCAUAUAAAGAUCCCAACACAAUACCCCAAUAUACUACAGUUUAAAAAUUACAGAACAGUCUUGUAUUUCAUAUACUAUCAGUAUCUGAAAUCAGUUUUAUAAAUGUGAGUCUAUUUUGUCUGUUGUGGGAUAAUACUCAUAUUUCCUCCUCUUAAUAUAAAAAAUAACGACUUGACAUGCCACCUCCAUGUGAUCUAUGGUCUUCUCCCAGGGUAAUUUUUUUUAACUUGAAAGUAAAAUCAAUGAGUCCUGAUAGCACUUAAAAGAAGAGAUUAAUUCUACCAAUAAGAAGGCCCACUGGAGAAGAUGGCAUUGGAGCUGGCAUCCUUGCUCUGAAUUUAUUCAUUAAAUGCUUUUAUGAUGAUGACUGUAUGUGGUAUGCCUUUUCUAGAAAUAACUCAUUAAGGCUUUAGCAUAAUGGAUGGUGAGGUAGUUUAGGUAGUUUUGCAAAAGAAAACAUAAUUAGUCAAGCAAUCUCAUCUUUCAACCUGAAUGACAGGACCAUUUCCUAAAAAACAAGGCCAUUCAAAUAGCAUUCAGUGCACUCUUUUUUAGUAGAAAGAAAACUUGAUCUUUCCACUCUAGUGCACUUCGACAAUCAAAGUCAGAAUUCUCUUAGAUUCCAAGAAUUGCCCCCUGAUCUACAAACUUUCUAUCAUGGUAGCUUUUGAGCUAUUUCAAAAAGGAAAUGCUUUCAGCCAACUGCAAAAAAUAAACAAACAAACCCAAACUGUUCACUACUAUCAGUUAGAAGAACUUAUUAUUCUUGAGAGUAUCAGCAGUACUCUGUGCUGUGGUUUACCAGCUGACUUCCCCGUAAUAUUGAAGUAAUGCUUCAAGCAAGUUUCUGAGUCUCUGGCACACUUUGCCCCAGCCACGUUUGCUUUCAAUGUUGAGAAAGAGUCCAGUGAUCAACAGCAUUUUCUGAUUUUGUCUUUUUUCUGCAGUGUUUAUGACAUCAUAACACCAACUAUUUCAAAAAUAGUUUAAAAAUCUUUUUUAUAAUCUGAAAUUUAAUUGUUGCAUAUAUAUUUCUACUUAUUGAAUGGGCUGGGAAUUGUGGCAUAUGGAUUAUGAGACAACCAGAAUGGAACCGCUUGUUAAAGCAAAGUAAAUAUGGCCUGAGCAGGACUCUGUACUUCUAUAUUUGAGUACUUGUGAAUGAAUUGUAACCCAACUUAAUAGGAAGACAGGGUUGAAAACCUAACUUAGGAGUGUGUGCCUGUAACAAUAGCUGAGUCUUGGCCAAUCCCAGAAGCCAUACUUCAGCCACUCAUACACUGCUAAGUGUUCAAGCUGUGUUCAAUAAGGCAAAUGCCAACCUGUAACCAAUCCAGCUGUUUCUGUACCUCACUUCUGAUUUCUGUACGCCACUUCCCUUUUUUGUCUAUAAAUUUGUUCUGACUAUGGGGCAUCCCUGGAGUCUCUCUGAGUCUGCUGUGAUUCAGGGGGCUGCCCGGUUCAUGAAUCGCUCAUUGCUCAAUUAAACUUGUUUAAAUUUAA